GCCCUAGUACGGCGAGUGAGCGGCAACAGCUCAAAUUUGAAAGCUGGCCUUCGGGUCCGCAUUGUAAUUUGUAGAGGAUGCUUUGGGGCAGCCGCCUGUCUAAGUUCCUUGGAACAGGACGUCAUAGAGGGUGAGAAUCCCGUAUGUGACAGGACAUGGCACCCUAUGUAAAGCUCCUUCGACGAGUCGAGUUGUUUGGGAAUGCAGCUCUAAAUGGGAGGUAAAUUUCUUCUAAAGCUAAAUACCGGCGAGAGACCGAUAGCGCACAAGUAGAGUGAUCGAAAGAUGAAAAGCACUUUGGAAAGAGAGUUAAAAAGCACGUGAAAUUGUUGAAAGGGAAGCGCUUGCAAUCAGACUUGUUUUGACUGUUCGGCCGGUCUUCUGACCGGUUUACUCAGUCUGGACAGGCCAGCAUCAGUUUUGGCGGCCGGAUAAAGGCUCAGGGAAUGUGGCUCUCACUUCGGUGGGAGUGUUAUAGCCCUGGGUGUAAUACGGCCAGCCGGGACUGAGGUCCGCGCUUCGGCUAGGAUGCUGGCGUAAUGGUUGUAAGCGACCCGUCUUGA
rnacentral:rRNA from 1 species